rnacentral:rRNA from 1 species
AAAUUGAAGAGUUUGAUCAUGGCUCAGAUUGAACGCUGGCGGCAGGCCUAACACAUGCAAGUCGAACGGUAACAGAAAGCAGCUUGCUGCUUUGCUGACGAGUGGCGGACGGGUGAGUAAUGUCUGGGAAACUGCCUGAUGGAGGGGGAUAACUACUGGAAACGGUAGCUAAUACCGCAUAACGUCGCAAGACCAAAGAGGGGGACCUUCGGGCCUCUUGCCAUCGGAUGUGCCCAGAUGGGAUUAGCUUGUUGGUGGGGUAACGGCUCACCAAGGCGACGAUCCCUAGCUGGUCUGAGAGGAUGACCAGCCACACUGGAACUGAGACACGGUCCAGACUCCUACGGGAGGCAGCAGUGGGGAAUAUUGCACAAUGGGCGCAAGCCUGAUGCAGCCAUGCCGCGUGUAUGAAGAAGGCCUUCGGGUUGUAAAGUACUUUCAGCGGGGAGGAAGGGAGUAAAGUUAAUACCUUUGCUCAUUGACGUUACCCGCAGAAGAAGCACCGGCUAACUCCGUGCCAGCAGCCGCGGUAAUACGGAGGGUGCAAGCGUUAAUCGGAAUUACUGGGCGUAAAGCGCACGCAGGCGGUUUGUUAAGUCAGAUGUGAAAUCCCCGGGCUCAACCUGGGAACUGCAUCUGAUACUGGCAAGCUUGAGUCUCGUAGAGGGGGGUAGAAUUCCAGGUGUAGCGGUGAAAUGCGUAGAGAUCUGGAGGAAUACCGGUGGCGAAGGCGGCCCCCUGGACGAAGACUGACGCUCAGGUGCGAAAGCGUGGGGAGCAAACAGGAUUAGAUACCCUGGUAGUCCACGCCGUAAACGAUGUCGACUUGGAGGUUGUGCCCUUGAGGCGUGGCUUCCGGAGCUAACGCGUUAAGUCGACCGCCUGGGGAGUACGGCCGCAAGGUUAAAACUCAAAUGAAUUGACGGGGGCCCGCACAAGCGGUGGAGCAUGUGGUUUAAUUCGAUGCAACGCGAAGAACCUUACCUGGUCUUGACAUCCACAGAACUUUCCAGAGAUGGAUUGGUGCCUUCGGGAACUGUGAGACAGGUGCUGCAUGGCUGUCGUCAGCUCGUGUUGUGAAAUGUUGGGUUAAGUCCCGCAACGAGCGCAACCCUUAUCCUUUGUUGCCAGCGGUCCGGCCGGGAACUCAAAGGAGACUGCCAGUGAUAAACUGGAGGAAGGUGGGGAUGACGUCAAGUCAUCAUGGCCCUUACGACCAGGGCUACACACGUGCUACAAUGGCGCAUACAAAGAGAAGCGACCUCGCGAGAGCAAGCGGACCUCAUAAAGUGCGUCGUAGUCCGGAUUGGAGUCUGCAACUCGACUCCAUGAAGUCGGAAUCGCUAGUAAUCGUGGAUCAGAAUGCCACGGUGAAUACGUUCCCGGGCCUUGUACACACCGCCCGUCACACCAUGGGAGUGGGUUGCAAAAGAAGUAGGUAGCUUAACCUUCGGGAGGGCGCUUACCACUUUGUGAUUCAUGACUGGGGUGAAGUCGUAACAAGGUAACCGUAGGGGAACCUGCGGUUGGAUCACCUCCUUACCUUAAAGAA